UACGAAGGGUGCAAACGUUGCUCGGAAUUAUUGGGCGUAAAGCGCACGUAGGCGGCUUUGCAAGUCCCAUGUGAAAUCCCACGGCUCAACCGUGGAAGUGCAUGGGAAACUGCAGAGCUUGAGUACUUAAGAGGAUCGCGGAAUUCCCCCAAGUAGAGGUGAAAAUUCGUAGAUAUGGGGAGGAACACCCCGUGGCGAAGGCGGCUCUCUGGGGCCGAUACUGACGCUGAGGAGCGAAAAGCGUGGGGGAGCAAACAGG
rnacentral:rRNA from 1 species